GAGGAUGACCAGCCACACUGGAACUGAGACACGGUCCAGACUCCUACGGGAGGCAGCAGUGGGGAAUAUUGGACAAUGGGGGCAACCCUGAUCCAGCAAUGCCGCGUGUGUGAAGAAGGCCUGAGGGUUGUAAAGCACUUUCAGUGGGGAGGAGGGUUGAUAGGUUAAGAGCUGAUUAACUGGACGUUACCCACAGAAGAAGCACCGGCUAACUCCGUGCCAGCAGCCGCGGUAAUACGGAGGGUGC
rnacentral:rRNA from 1 species